UACGGAGGGUGCAAGCGUUAUCCGGAUUCACUGGGUUUAAAGGGUGCGUAGGUGGGCUUGUAAGUCAGUGGUGAAAUCUCCAGGCUUAACCUGGAAACUGCCAUUGAUACUAUAGGUCUUGAAUCUCGCGUAGGUAAGCGGAAUAUGUCAUGUAGCGGUGAAAUGCUUAGAUAUGACAUAGAACACCAAUUGCGAAGGCAGUACAUUGGGCCACUCCUGACACUGAAACACGAAAGCGUGGGUAGCGAAUGGG
rnacentral:rRNA from 1 species